UUUAUAAACACUUAGGCAUUUUAUAAAAUUGUGAAUCUUACACCAUAAUUAUCUUUGUAAUAUUUGGCAACCACCGAACAUUUUUGUUUUAAUUUUUGAAAACUUUUAUUGUUUUCUUUUAUUUAAAUUUUGAACUUGUUUCGGUUCUGAACUAUCGAGAGUUUAUCACAGUAACCGUGGUGACGUGGCAUCAUUAGCGGGGAAUCACUGUAGCUUAAUUAUCCGGGCGUCACAAUUCUCCUCCACUACAAGAAAUCUCGUCCCGAGAUUUAGGAUCGGUUAUAAGGGGGAAGGGGUCUGGUUACGAAAUUCUAACGAUUCUUCUCGAUCAUAGUAGCUCUUCUCGAAGAGGUCGACCCAUUACAUUGAUGUCUUCAGUCCUCUCCUCCAGGUCAUCAUGAUGAAGUUUGUCGUCCUUUCUUCGGGGUUCCAUCGUACUUACGAAAGGAUAAAGGGUGGGUAUUCCGAGAGAAUGGACCUCUGCAGGUUUGACUAUCUGGUCGAUAACAUCGGGGAGGGUGGCGGAAGUAACUCUCGAAUUGAAACUUAAGAAAAUAUCAAGAGCAGAGUAAGGAGGUAUCCUGGGAAGUUUCGAGCGGGCAGGCAAUCGUUCGAUGUCUGAUAUGUGGCGUGAAAGGGGUUCGAAGCCACGAGAAUAAGUAUUUGUCUGAUACCAGAUUGAAGGUGGCUCAUGAAUUACAUACGAGGCCACGCGCGAGGAACAACCUUGGGUACAGGGGGGUACAGGAGAGUCAGGUUUCGAUCCUGUGGAACUGUGGGUUAUGGGCCCACCAUGUGGAUUAAAAGUAGGAAGGNNNNNNNNNNUGUUUUCUUUUUAUUUAUUUUCUUUUCUGUUUUUAUUUAUUUAUAAACACUUAGGCAUUUUAUAAAAUUGUGAACCUUACACCAUAAUUAUCUUUGUAAUAUUUGGCAACCACCGAACAUUUUUGUUUUAAUUUUUGAAAACUUUUAUUGUUUUCUUUUAUUUAAAUUUUGAAUUUGUUUCGGUUCUGAACUAUCGAGAGUUUAUCACAGUAACCGUGGUGACGUGGCAUCAUUAGCGGGGAAUCACUGUAGCUUAAUUAUCCGGGCGUCACAAUUCUCCUCC
rnacentral:lncRNA from 1 species